AACGAACGCUGGCGGCAUGCCUAACACAUGCAAGUCGAACGAGACCUUCGGGUCUAGUGGCGCACGGGUGCGUAACGCGUGGGAACCUGCCCUUAGGUUCGGAAUAACUCCCCGAAAGGGGUGCUAAUACCGGAUAAUGUCUUCGGACCAAAGAUUUAUCGCCUUUGGAUGGGCCCGCGUUGGAUUAGCUAGUUGGUAGGGUAAAAGCCUACCAAGGCGACGAUCCAUAGCUGGUCUGAGAGGAUGAUCAGCCACACUGGGACUGAGACACGGCCCAGACUCCUACGGGAGGCAGCAGUGGGGAAUAUUGGACAAUGGGCGAAAGCCUGAUCCAGCAAGGCCGGGUGAGUGAUGAAGGCCUUAGGGUUGUAAAGCUCUUUUACCCGGGAUGAUAAUGACAGUACCGGGAGAAUAAGCUCCGGCGAACUCCGU
rnacentral:rRNA from 1 species